GCUUAGCCCUGGUAGCUUUGCCCAGUUAGCUUACCACCGUUAGCUUAGCUCUGUUUUCUGUUGGUUCAUGUAGUCAAUAACUGAACUAAAGAUAGAGGUAGAAACUGUCCCAGUUUAGUCUGAGCCACGGACCAACAAACGGAAACUUAGCAACGAUAAGAACAUCCCAUAAUAACAGUGUACCUUCAUAAACCUCUGAAUCCAACUCCAUUCUGUUCAUUUCCAUCUGAGUCCAGAGAAAACAACCACUGGAGUUUAAACACUGACUCUGACAGUUGGUUCUUUAUGGUUCUCAUGGUUAACUUGACCUUCAGUAACUCACUGCUCCCUCUAGUGGUCACAUUAAACACAUAAUUGGACAUAUUUGUAUAAUCCAAACAUGGGCACCUUUAGCAGAACUUCACAGACCUUUAUUCGAAACACUACGAUUAGAAUUUGAAGUCGUUUUUUUUUUUUUUUUUUAUAUUUUUGAAAAUAAAAACACGACAUAUCAACGCUUUAAAAUCUAUUUUACACUUAAAAACGGGUCAGUUUUUACAGGUUUUCAUCAAACUCACAACUACGACUAGUUGAAUCACUUCUGUUCUUUGACUGACAGUUGUGUCUUUAUGGUUCUCAUCCUCGGCUCACUACUCCCUCUAGUGGUCACAUUAAUCCUCCGGUUCUUCAACGGAACUAAAUUCUGUUCAUUUCUGUUCGAUCCGAUACAUCGGCAGAACUUCACAGAUGUUAUUUUCAUUUUUUUUAAUAAUUAAAAAUACGAACUCUACGUGUCGACGACUCUUCAUGAAAACUUUGAAGACGAAGAGUUGUGGAUUUUUCCUGAACUCGUUGAUGAGCUGAACUCGGGCUGAACUCGACCGUCAUCGCAUUAAAAACUGAUCAAAGACGAAGCGAAAACCCACACAUGCAUCUAUUUUUCAUGCGGAAAAGGAGGAAACUUUGACAAACGACUGAAAAAAAAAAAAAAAAAAAAAAACCAUCUCUGAAGCUUUGAAGUGAAGCUGCUGAUGGAACGUCAACGCUCCGAUCGGGAACCGCCGUCCGUUCUCCAUAAACAUGUGGAAAACUGCAGCGAAAACGCCUCCUGGAAACACGGAGGCGUUGAAGUUGCCGCGGUAACGUCAGGUCAGGUGACAAAGGCUCAUUAAGAGAUGACUGACAGGUAAUUUACACUGAAACCAGCCAAUGAGGAGCCAGCACUGGUUGUCAUGGCAACAGAGGCCUAAAGUUUCUACAUGUACCUGCAGUGAUACUGACAGAGUCUGAUGAAGAAAAGAAAGAGAAGAAAAAAGAAAAGAGAAGAAAAAAGAAAAGAGAAGAAAAAGAGAGACAAGAGAAGAUGAGAAGAAAAGAGAGAAAACAGAAAUGAAAGAAAAGAAAAAGGAGAGAAAACAGAAGAAAGGGUGGAGGGUAAAACUCUUCAGCUGCUUCAGUCUGGUCGCUGUCGUCCUCUUCAGUUUCAGAACUUCCUCUGCCCUUCAAAAUAAAAGCACAUGUUGUAAAACUGCAGCUGGAGUUCAUUUAGAUUUAUUUUAAUAAAUUCAUUUGUUUUUUUUUCUCCGUAAAAUGUUUCAGGAUGAAUUUAGAAAAACCAUGCAGUUAAAAAUAUUCAAGACGGAAAUAAAGGAACAGAAAGAGUAGAAGAAGAAAAAGGAGGCGGGAAAUAAUGAGUGGGCAUGGCCACCACAUGUGGGCGGGGCUUGUCCAUUUUCCAGGUCGACACAGAAGACGCAGACUCAGCGUUUAUUGACUCAAACAUUUUCAUUUACAUUUUCAUUCUGUUUCAGUUCAUCUUAAAAAAAAAAAAGUUCAGUAAAAAGAAACAAAUAAAAAUAUCUUCAACUGUUUCACGUCUCGUCGGUAAAAAAAACAACAAAAAAAAACAGAUUCUUUUUCUCUUUUACACACGAAACAAAGUGACUUAAAAACACUUUUCAUGCAGAAACGUUAAAAAAGAGCCUGAGAAAGAAGGAAACAGUGGGAAACAUCAGAAACUCUUCCAUCUCUGAUUCCACCAGAUGAUGUUUUAUC